rnacentral:tRNA from 1 species
GUACUUUUAGCUUAAUGGGUAAAGCUCUUAACUUCAAAUUUAGUAGUUAAGGGUUCAAACCUUUAAGUAUA